AGUGCCGCAUAUAACGCCAGCUUAACCACCUUUUUUCUAGCCAUACAGGGAAGUCCAUCCAUCCAUCCAUCUUCUACUGCUUACCCCUUUUCAGGGUCAUGGGGAACCUGGAGCCUAUCCCAGGCAGCAUCGGGCACAAGGCGGGGUACACCCUGGACAGGGUGCCAGUCCAUCACAGGGUACAAUCACAUACACACCCAUUCAUACACUAUGGACACUUUAGACAUUAUGAUAGAAGAUACAAACUACUUGCUUGAGAAUGGUCUUGCUGUGCCUAGCUGUAGUCCCUGGUGCUCACCCUGCCUACUAGUUCCAAAGCCUGACAAAAGCUAUAGGUUCUGCACAGAUUAUAGAAAAGUCAAUGCUUUAACUAAGGUAGACUCGUUUCCCCUCCCAAGAAUGGAAGAUUGUGUUGACUGAAUUGGAAAUGCAAAGUUUGUCACAAAACUGGACCUUCUAAAGGGUUACUGGCAGGUUCCACUCAACCCACGUGCAUCUGAGAUUUCUGCUUUCGCUACACCAGACAGGUUCCUCCAAUAUACGGUCAUGGCUUUUGGUCUGAAAAAUGCUCCAGCUACAUUUCAGCGGCUAAUGGCACAGGUAUUGGUAGAUGUAGAAAACUGUGAAGCUUACCUUGACAAUGUAGUCGUUUUUACAGACACCUGGGAUAGUCAUAUUUGUGUGUUAGCCCAUGUGUUUGCUCGUCUCCAGACAGCCUCUCUUGCUCUGAACCUCACAAAAUGUGAGUUUGGUCAUGCCACCAUAACCUACUUCGGUAAACAGGUUGGACCUGGUGCUGUUCGCCUACUGGAUGCUAAAGGUAAGUCCAUUGCCACUUUUCCUUCACCUACGACAAACAGAGAACUUCGAUGCUUUCUUGGGAUGGCUGGGUACUAUAGAAGUUUUUGUACGAAUUUUUCAGAUGUUGUGUUGCCUCUCACAAAUCUCCUCCGUAACUCAGUUUCUUUUGUGUGGUCUUCUAGCUGUAAGGCUGCUUUUGAGGCUGUUCAGAUGUUGUUAUAUAGUGCAUCUGUUGUUUCUGCUUUGUGAAGCUCUUCAAACUUGAAGUAGAUGCUAGUGGUAUGUGUGCCAGUGCUGUCUUGAUUCAGGAAGAUGCUCAGGGCAUAGAUCACCUGGUUAGCUUCUUUUCUCACAAGUUUAACCGUCAUCAGUUGAACUACAGCACUAUUGAGAAGGAGGCCCUUGCCCGUUUGCUUGUGCUCCAACAUUUUGAAGUUUAUACUGGUUCUCGCUCUGACCCUGUUACUGUUUUUACAGACCACAACCCCCUAGUGUUUUUACAUCGUAUGUCAAACAGCAACCAACGGCUCAUGCGGUGGUCCUUGAUUGUGCAAGGUUUUAACAUAACAAUUCAGCAUAAGAAAGGGUCUGAAAAUGUUGUGGCUGACUAUCUCUGUGUUAUUUUAAUGACAGUUGUGAACCUAACGUUCACUCUUAAGGGAGGGGGAGUUAUGUUAUCCAAUGUAUUUCCGUUUGCUCUAUGUGCUAUUUGUGUGCACUAUGUCGGUGGUGGGAUGGGUUUCUUUUGUCUCCACCUCCUUCUCUAGGCCCCGCCUACUGCAUGCGUCACGUUAUGGCUUGCUAGUGGAUGAUCACGUCUUGUCCAGGCCUGCUCCAGACUUGUGCGACAGGAUUGGUUGUCUGCACGGUUCCGGAAGUGUACUUAAGCCUCGUCAGUCUCCAUCCCAGGGCAGAUCAUUGCCAUUUGCUUUGUGUAUAGAGAGAAGUGCUUUUCACCGGUGUACGACCUUAUGCCUGAUUGGACUCUUUUUAUGCUCUGCCCCGUUACGAUUCAGGUGAUACACUUGUGCAUAUACGUACAGUAUCUCACAAAAUUUAGUACACCCCUCACAUUUUUGUAAAUAUUUGAUUAUAUCUUUUCAUGUGACAACACUGAAGAAGUGACACUUUGUUUAUUUAAAAUAAAUUCCACAAAAUGAGUGUUAGAAAUAUAAACGUCAGACUAAAACUUUACACAACUGUUUGUACAAAACAGAAAAGAACCCUAUGCACACACCAGAAUAAAUAUUAUUAAUUAAAUAAAAUUUAUUUUAUAGUAUUUAUGCAUUAUUUUUAUGGAUGCACAAAAAAGCACCCAAUUAAACUACAGUCCUAUAUUAAUAAUAAAAACUCCCUUUCACUGCACCUUGUGGUUUCUGUUACUCGCUGCCUUUAGGAAUAUUGUUUUACUUGUGUUUAUUUUUGAUGAUAAUGUUUUAAUUAGACAUUACAGAUCUUGCUCGCACUCUAUCAGCGUGUCUACACCGCGUGUGAUCAGAAAUGCGACCUCGUUACUAACACAUCACUUCUGUUAUAAUAAACAAAAGAAUUUACACUGCAUUUACAUGGCAAGCAUGCAAAUACAACAUAUAAUUACAAUUAACUUAAAUUAAAGUAAACCUUUUAAGCAGCUUGCACUAGUUUCCCCUGCCCCUUACACAUAGUGGAGUAUUUUGGAACAUAACUUUAUCCUCGUGCAUCAUUUUAAUUUCCACGGUGUUUAAAAUGCUGCUUAGAGGACUUGGAUGUUGGACUUGGAGGAGACUGAGGUCAUGUUGGGAAUAAAAGGUAAUGCUGACAGAAAGUAAACUGAAGAAAGUCAUUAUCGGUGACUCUGGGUGUUUGCUAAUGCUAAUGCUAAUGCUUUUUUUUAGUAAAAAAGAUGCUUUAGUAAAAAAUAAUGCUUUUUUUUAGUAAAAAAAAAUGCUAGUGUUAUAUUUGAGAUGAUAUUACCUUUCUAAAAUCCACACACUAGACGGUAGAGUACACAGUGCAUACUGUAAGUGUACAGUACUUCAUUUGGGACACAACUUUAGUAUUUACUCUCCAAACUGUGUUUUCUGAAGAGAAGUAACGUAUUGAGUAAACAUGCCCCAUGCAGCACGCAGACCAACUAAUGAGAUUCCUUGACAACGGAUCUUCCUAAUCGAUUAUUAUCGAUUUUAUCGAUUAGUUGUUGCAGCUCUAAAUUGAAUACAUUGGCCAUGCUGUCAAUGGAAAAGAAUGACUGAGAUGAAGGACUUUAAUCAGAAAGUAAUUGAGAAUUUUGCAAAGCAGAAAGAAAGAAGGGCAAAAUUUAUUUUCAAGUAGUGUUACUGGCCAUUGUUUAGGCAACAUUACUGUGUUGGUUUUUUUGAGUGAUUACUGUAAUUACUUUUUUACUGAUAAUAAACCCACAUUAAACUCAAAUUCGUGGUCAUUUAUUACAUUCUUUAACAGCCAAAUUUUCCAUUUUUAGCUAAGCAGUGAUGAUAUUUUGUUAUUUCACAUAUUAGAUGGCUGUUUAACAAUUACAUUCAGUCCCGCAUUACUAACGGUGUGAAUUUCAGUUUGUUAGCCCCCCCAGAAUAGUUUUAUCCAAAUUUUCAAAGAUGAUUUCAAAGAUAAAUCCUGGCUCAGUAGAAGUGAUGAUGGUUGUGUAACAGGUAUGGAAAGUAUUCCAUACAUUUAAUGUGUAGAAUUACACAAAAGGAAACAUAUACCUGAUGUAGCUGUCUACUUAUGUGAGUACUUUCCCUUUUAAUUGUCAUGAUGUCAUUGGUCUGUGUAAUUUCCUGUUUUGGCUUCUCCUCUUCCCUUUCACAUUAUAAUUGAAUGGGAGAGGUACGUUUAAUUUUGAGUUCUCAGUAAUCUUGUUUCAUCUUUAUUUAAAUCAUUAUUUAUAUACACAGCAAAUUGAACAGAGUUAAAUUUUUGGUGUUGGUGAACAGAGAGUCAAUCUAUCUCUACUUGGAAUUGAUCUAACUCUUUAUGUUGUCUAAACUGUUAGAUUUCACACUGUACCACAAAAGAGUUGGUGUCAAAAUGGAGUGUUAUAACUGUUUUCUAGAAAUCAACUCUGAUAGUGUCACUGCUAUGGUGGACCUGCCAGAUAAGAUACCUCUGUUUGGGUCUUUUCUUAAACAGGAACACUACCAUGAUCCUGAGGGUAAUGCUCUCUUCAUUGCAUGGAGGAUCAAGACAGUUCAACGUAACACCUGUGCUGGCUACAGGUGUCAUUCCAAGACUGUUCUUCGGGAUGGUCCAAAAACCAGACGAGAAUUUCUGUUAACCUAUCAACAGCUAUUUGGUGAGGAGUGCAGGGAGGCGAUAUCUACAAUACGACAUUCUACUGAUGAAUCUGUGGUCAAAGAGAAGAUGAGAGCAACUUUCCAGUAUUGACAGAAGAUGGUCGGUGAGGAUGCAUCAUCUUCAGUCCUGGAUUUGUUUCCCUGAUGUACUUGGAUUGAUCGACCAGGAUUUCUCCGUGAUGUUUGGUGACGAAGUGUCUCAGAAGUUCCUGGCAAAGUGGUCAACAUUUUUCAAGCAAAAAAUCAUUGCAGACUGCAAGACUCUUAAGAAUAUGGGCGAGCUGCUGUCAGGAACUGAACCUGAAUCUGAGGACUACAACGGAUGGACCAGCGAUAUGUCUCCAAUCCUUUUGCUGCUGCAUCUGCUCCCUCUAACCUCAAGAGGCUAACCUCAAGAAAAAAACAUCCAAGAUCAGUUCAGCUCAAGCGACCAGCCAUCUUGUGAGAUAUUAAGGAAGGAGCCAGUGUGACUACCUUCAUUGAGAGUGCUGACACAAGACAACCAUUCCUCCUCUGCAUUGGUGAGCGAAAGAAGGAUAUCCAAAAGUUCUAUUUUAGAUUAUUAUCGACCUAAAACGAUCCCAUGUAAGGCGCACACAUCAGUGGCAGCUUUUGAUGAACUGUUCAAAGCUCACUAUGUCUUCAGUUUCUCAUAUGAUGAAGCUCUUUGUGAUUUCUACACAUUUAUCCAAACCACCAUCUAUAACAUCUAUGUCGGAAGAGCAAAGGAGAGCCCGCGUGUUAAAGAACUUCGAGCACGAUUGCUACAGCGAGAUUAACAGCCUUGAAGAUGUUCACAUGUUUUGUAUGUAAAGCGCACCUCAGAACUUGUUUGGUUCUUUGUCAACAUUUAAAAUUUCAAUAUGGUUAAUAUCCUAGCAAAAAGUUACAUUUAAAAUGUGGAGAGCCAGGUCGCCUGUUAUCAUUUUGUAUUUAUAGUGGCUUCCGAAAACACCUCAGUAGUCACACUAUGGAUCAAGAGAUUGAUACUAAUCAGGAUGUUUCCACUCAGGGAGAAUAUGAGGCGGAAUGUUCAAAUGAUCGCACAAAUUCUGUUGCCACAUACUUCACAAAGUUCUGUUGUUACAAGUCAGCUAUCUUCAAUGUGUGGAUCAAUUGUUGCUCAUUUACAAGCAUCAGGUCUUUCUGAACGUGCUGUCCAAACAAUUGAUUGUUCAAUGGAAGAAGUUGUUAAUGAUGUUAAAAGCCAAGCACGAGAUGCAGUUCUUAAAACUGUUACUCCUGAAAGUACAAGUUCAGACACUUGUAGAAGAAUAGAACACUGUUUUGAUCAAUUAGGUAAUCCUUUUCCAGCAUUAAACACUGAGUCAAAGAGGCAUAAAUAUGAUGAGAAAUGGGAAAUAGUUGAACCUAAAGAAUGUGUUCUUGGGGUGAGAAUGGAUUUGUGCAGAGCUAGAACUAUAGGUAUCUGUAGUCAGGUUCCCGUAACGGACAAGUGGACAAACAGAGUGGAACUGGAGUUUACAAAAACAUUAAUGAUGGGUUGUAUUUCCAAAACCAUGCACUGUUCUCACAGCAAAAGCAUGCUUUACAGAUUCUACUCUAUUAUGACGAUUUUGAAACUGCUAACCCUCUAGGUUCCAAGAGGUGGAUCCACAAACUUGGUUGUAUCUGUUUUACUCUAAAAAAAAUCUUCCACCCAAGUGUAACUCGGUACUGAUUAGUGUACAUCUUGCAGCUCUAUUCUACACAGAAGUUCUUAAGACAAAUGGUUUUGAUGUGAUAUUAAAGCCUCUUAUUGAUGACCUGAAAAUCUUAGAAGCCGAGGGCAUACAGCUUACUUGUUUUGAACAACCAUUGUUUGACUCAGUAAUUCAAGUAACAGGAGAUAAUUUGGCUUUAAAUGGCUUGCUGGGAUUUGUGGAAUCUUUCAGUGCAACUAAUUUCUGUCUUAUUAGGCCUUGCCUUUCUCAAUCAUUAGCUCAAAUUUGACCUAUUCUCAAACCAGACAGUUCUUGGAGAUUUGUACACUGACUUAUUCACUUGUAGUGGCUUCUACUCCUGAUGUACUGGCAUUUCUUUUGCCAGAGGCUAUUAUUCGAUGUGUCCAAUGGUUUCUGGUUCUGAUAUGCAGAACCGAUAUUUAUUUAUUGUUUUACUUCUGUUUUUGACACAAUGAUAAUUCUCAAUUUCACUUCCUCCUCGUAUUUAAAACAAAACUUUUAUUUAUAUACUAAUAAAUAGAGGGGUCUGAAAGAGUGCAAAAAAGUGCAGUUACUAAAGUGUCUUUUAUAAAUAAAA